rnacentral:misc_RNA from 1 species
GAAAUGCGAUAAGUAAUGUGAAUUGCAGAAUUCCGUGAAUCAUCGAAUCUUUGAACGCACAUUGCGCCCUCUGGUAUUCCGGGGGGCAUGCCUGUCCGAGCGUCAUUGCGAACCCCUCAAGCACGGCUUGCGUGAUGGGCCCUCCCGCGUCUUGGUCGUCAAGACGGGCCCGAAAUGCAGUGGCGGCUUCGCGGUUAUCCGAUCAGCCAGAGCGUAUGGGGACUUUCUCUCUGUCACACGCCCGCGGCGCGGACCGACGCCUGUCGACCUUUAUUCAUCUUUUUCUCGGUUGACCUCGGAUCAGGUAGGGAUACCCGCUGAACUUAAGC